GGGAGGGGGCGCUGUGCGCUUGCGCGAGGUGACGCCGGGGCAGGGCCGGAAGGAGGGCAGCGGCUGCUGCGGAGCUCGCAGCUGCAGCUUUGGAGGAGUAAGCGGCGCGGUAGCGAAGGCCGCCGAACCCGCCCGGCUAGCUGGCGAGUUGAGUGUCGAGCGGCGCGUGCCUGUGAACCCCAUCCCAGGCGGGCGGCGUUUUUCCUCCUCUCCCCUGACAUCUGGAGCGCGUGUUGUUCCGCGAAAGUUGGCGACUGUCACCCGGCACUCGCGAGGGCGCCGCAGCCUUUUGAAACAGAUGGUCACCAUGUUUAGAUAUUAGCAGUCCCGUAUGUGCAUGUCUGCAUUUGAAG
rnacentral:lncRNA from 1 species